GACGAACGCUGGCGGCGUGCCUAAUACAUGCAAGUCGAGCGGGGAUUAUGCUUGAUCGCUUCGGUGAGACGGCAUAUAUCCUAGCGGCGGACGGGUGAGUAACGCGUGGGUAAUCUACCUCGUAGUUCGGGAUAACAGGCCGAAAGGCUUGCUAAUACCGGAUGAGUUCAUGCUUAUGCAUAUAGGCAUGAAGAAAGGGCUAGCCCGCUAUGAGAUGAGCCCGCGUCCCAUUAGCUUGUUGGUGGGGUAAUGGCCUACCAAGGCAACGAUGGGUAGCCGGCCUGAGAGGGUGUACGGCCACACUGGGACUGAGACACGGCCCAGACUCCUACGGGGGGCAGCAGUAGGGAAUUUUCGGCAAUGGGCGAAAGCCUGACCGAGCGACGCCGCGUGAGGGACGAAGGCCUUCGGGUUGUAAACCUCUGUCUGGGGGGAUGAGAACGGACGGUACCCCCGGAGGAAGCCCCGGCUAACUACGUGCCAGCAGCCGCGGUAAUACGUAGGGGGCUAGCGUUGUCCGGAAUUACUGGGCGUAAAGGGUGCGUAGGCGGCCCUUUAAGUCGGAUGUGAAAGCCCGCGGCUUAACCGCGGAAUGGCAUUCGAAACUGGAGGGCUUGAGUGUCGGAGAGGGUAGUGGAAUUCCCAGUGUAGCGGUGAAAUGCGUAGAUAUUGGGAGGAACACCAGUGGCGAAGGCGACUACCUGGACGAUAACUGACGCUGAGGCACGAAAGCUAGGGGAGCAAACAGG
rnacentral:rRNA from 1 species